AGCACCUUCGGGUGUGAAUUAGCGGCGAACGGGUGAGGAACACGUGAAGAAUCUGCCUUCAACACUGGGAUAACUCCGGGAAACCGGGGCUAAUACCGGAUAUGAGCCUUGAUCGCAUGAUCGGGGCUGGAAAGUUUUUCGGUUGAAGAUGACUUCGCGGCCUAUCAGCUUGUUGGUGAGGUAAUGGCUCACCAAGGCGACGACGGGUAGCCGGCCUGAGAGGGCGACCGGCCACACUGGGACUGAGACACGGCCCAGACUCCUACGGGAGGCAGCAGUGGGGAAUAUUGGGCAAUGGAGGAAACUCUGACCCAGCGACGCCGCGUGAGGGAUGAAGGCCUUCGGGUUGUAAACCUCUUUCAGUAGGGAAGAAGCGAAAGUGACGGUACCUACAGAAGAAGCACCGGCUAACUAUGUGCCAGCAGCCGCGGUAAUACAUAGGGUGCAAGCGUUGUCCGGAAUUAUUGGGCGUAAAGAGCUCGUAGGUGGUUCGAUACGUCGGAUGUGAAAAUCAGGGGCUCAACCCCUGACCUGCAUCCGAUACGGUCGAGCUAGAGUUUGGUAGGGGAGACUGGAAUUCCUGGUGUAGCGGUGGAAUGCGCAGAUAUCAGGAGGAACACCGAUGGCGAAGGCAGGUCUCUGGGCCAAUACUGACACUGAGGAGCGAAAGCGUGGGGAGCGAACAGGAUUAGAUACCCUGGUAGUCCACGCCGUAAACGGUGGGCGCUAGUUGUGCGAACCUUCCACGGU
rnacentral:rRNA from 1 species